rfam:Ornithorhynchus anatinus chromosome 3, whole genome shotgun sequence.
AGCAGUGUUGCUCAGUGGUAAGAGCACAGGCUUGGGAGUCAGAGGUCAUGGGUUCGAAUCCUAGCUCUGCCG